rnacentral:sRNA from 1 species
UCAUGAAACGCGCGUGCGGAAGGCUCAUGCCGGCUGAAGGCUGGCAUGGGUGCCGUUGAGGCGC